UAUUCCUAGAAAAACACACAGUUUCCAUUCAAAGCACUGAAUCUCUUCUCAAACAGUUCAACCCAGUUUAGAGUGUGGUUUCACACUAUUACAAUGUUGUUCUACUCCAGAGAUGCACUCUUUGUUUCCUCAGCUGCAGCCCUGCUCCUUCUGCCCUUCAGGCUCCAUAACUGCACUGUGCUAAUGGAAGGCCUGUGUGGUCACACAGCUGUGCAAAUGAGAUUUUAGGGACCUCCCUGCCCCCCAUUUUUAAAACAUUCAUCCCUUCCAAGGUUCUUUUUCAGCUGAUAUCCUUUUAAGCCACAUGCUGAGCUGCAACAGCACAACUGAGGGCAGCAGAGAACCAAAGUCUGCUUCGCAAAGCGCUGUGGUCUGACAAGAAUACUUGGAACCACAGUCCCUGGAACAACCAUCACUCUUCCAGCUGAUACAGCAAUCUGAUAAUCAGAAGUGACACCUCAUCACAUGCAAUGGAAAGGAUUAAAAGUUAACCCUAAAGGAACUGUCCUUUUGAUCAUCUAAUGCCCAUAUGGAUGGCUCCCAUGAAUCCACUGGUCAUCCUUCUGUAUGUGAGUCUUCUUACAUAGUAUACUUCAAAUUCCUUCAGUUUGGAAGUUCACUAAGGCUAACUCAAACCUGGAUUGGGGUAGGAUACUUCCUUUACACCUCCUUCACAGUCAAGGAGACUGAGAACACUAAAGUUUAUCAAAUGUUGCUGUCACCCCCUGAAGUCAAGCAAUCCCUUCUUGCAAGAAAUCAAAGCCUCUAAACUUGGAGGGUACUGUAAUAAAGAUCUCAUUACACUUCUUGGGUUUCAAACAAUAACAGUACACUACAUGUCAGUAUUUCUUAUAUUAUUAAAAUUGCAGAACAUGUUGUUCUGAAGGUGGAAGGUAUUGCCCUUCAUAUAAUCAAGAUAAGACAAACAGGUGUUCUACCAGAACUAUUUAGAAUGGGACCUACAGUAAAUUUUUAAAUCCUAGGCAGUUUUAUUCUGCUUUGAAUGAGUGAUAACAGCUGAAAAAAAAGCCCUAUAUAGUAAAUCCCCACGACAAAUCUGACUGUGGAAAACUGGAAACCACUUACUUUGCGACACGUGAAUAUUUAACCUUAUUUCUAGUCUCCUGUUCACUUGGAUUGGCUUUUCCGUGGAUUUCUUCACCCUUUGGCUCUUCAAGCAACUCUUCAUCAUUUUCUCCUGCAUCCUCUUCCUUAGCUGCAUCUUUUGGGGGCAUGGGCUUCAAGCCAUCGAGCUCUGUGUCACACUGCCACACACAGAGAGCUGCAUCCUGGCUAAUUGUGUACAGCUAGAACACAAACACAUGAUUAUUGUCCAACACCUCAGCUUUGUGCUCUACUGCUAAUAUAGACCUGCAGAAGGGUUAGCAAGUGUGCACUCUGUUGUUAGGACAACACAUUACUUAGCCCUCCUAGAAUCUGAGGCGUUUUGAUCUGGAAAUUUCACUUCUCCUGAGAACCAGUGAUUUACUUUACGUGCCCUCAAAAAUUUUUUGCAAGGACCAAAGGUAAUUUGAUUACCGGGUAACAUUACAGUUAAAUAAUUUUUUCAUGUUUAAAAUUAUAAUAUUUUAGGGGAGCAAUUUUCAAUAGCUUACUCACAGUCUAAAGUUUAUUUUUUUAAAUAUCCAUGGAACUGUAAACUGCCAAUCACAGCAGAGGAGUCAAGAGACAUAUUGCUUAUGCACUUUCUAAAUUCUGAGAUAUUGUCAAAAUAGUCAUCUACAGGUAAGACUGUGCUUCAACUAUUUAAAUAUUAAAAUUUAAGAAUGUUGUGUGAUUAUACAUACAUCUAGACUGUUCUCUUCAAAAAAGCAGGCUACAAUUACAUCCUUAUGCCCUCCAAGUGAGUAGUAGAUCAAGUUUGCCCAUCGUUCUGCUCCAAACACCCACGUAGACAUGUCCUUGCUUCCUACUGCAAAACACCUUAAAAAAAAAAAAAGGCAGUUUGCAUUAGAACACUGGUUUGAAAAACUUUUCACUGGGUGGUGAAUGUUCUGAGCACAAAGACACCAGUCACUACUUCAAAAGUAAUUUUACACACAACAGAGUUGUAAACUGAGGUUGGUGACUGCAGCAAAAGUAGAAGGGGUUAAAUAAAUUCAAAAUGUCAACCAUGCUCAUAUUCCUAAGACACGUUCCUUUUAUGGAUUACUAGGCAAGAAUCCCUUGUUGAUCCCCAAUACAUGCAUAUUUUAUACUUUCUAGUCUGCCUAUAUAUUUUUUAAUUCAAGACAGAGUUUUUAAAGCUAGUACAAUACUUAAUAGGAAAGAAAAUGGAUUGUAACAUGCAUACAAAUAUUAACAACGUGUGCAGGUAGACAGUGCUUUAGUUUAACAACUCACUUGGAAUCAUCAGUCCAGUCAAUACAAGUUGUUUCAUCAUAUGGACCAUAGUAGGUUUUGUCCAGAACAAAUGCAUUGAAUUCUCGUUUCUUCCCAGGAGCAUGGUACAGGUAAGCAAGGUUGUCUUUUGUAAUCACAAAUUUCCUGUCAUAUGGGGGGGGAGGGGGAAGCAUAAUUGCACACAAAGCUGUUAAAUCAAACGAACUGUUCAGUACAGACUGCAACAC